AAAUGUGGCCAAACCUACUUGUCAAAGCCUGAUCUCAUCAAAUCUCAGAAACUAAUCAGGGCUAUGCCUGAUAAGUACUUGGAUAGAAGACAGCUGGGAAUAUCGGGUGCCACAAUGG
rnacentral:rRNA from 1 species